UCUUGAUUCGGACAGGAAAGCUUUUGCGACACCUGCUGGAUUUACCGAGAACUUCAUCCAGAUGAAAUGGGAAAAAAUCUGUCAUGUUGCAUGACCUCUUCGGGCGACGGUCCACAGGAGAAGUGUCGAGAAUCUUCCAAGUAUGACGACAUGCUCCAGCUCCUCUUACAGCAGGAGGCCAAGAUUGCUG